ACACUCAUGCCUCAGUCAAGCUAACACGAAGUGCCGUCGGAUUUCAUCCGAUUUGACCACUUAACAGGACCGAAUUAGCAAACUCACACGAAGGUGAGCGGUUGCAGAGAAUACAAUAGGUCCACCACAAGAUUAACAAGUUGAUACACACUUAGUUGCAAAACAAAGUUUAACAAGUUCUGAAGAAAACAACAGAAGGUAAAACAAGCGGAAGCUAAGC
rnacentral:lncRNA from 1 species